GUCAGCCAGGGAAAGGAAAAUGAAUAUGAUGAUAGUUGCCCUGUUCCUUAGGGGCGGGAGGAAGGGCCUUCAGAACCAGCUCUGGGCAAGGGGCUGGUGGGGUACCAAGGGGACAAUACGGAUGUCAAGCUGUGAGUACUGCCAGUCUCCUCCCCGCUGGGCUCCUUCAGCAACAGGACUCUCUCCUCAGGGCUAGUACGUCCCUUCUUUCCUCUUCUCACACCCCUAAGAGUUUUGGUGAGUCCCGAGUGAAUGAGCCUCCUCCUUCCAAUGACACCCUUUAAUCCUGGCAUCAACAGUGUUAGGGCCAGAAGCCCUCACACCACUCUCUUGGAAACCCUGGUACCACUUAGGGUUCAGACCUCUGUCACAGGAGGGACAGACAGGUCCACACUUCUGAAGCCUCUGCCUAUAGUGCAGCUCUUUCUCCCAUUCCCAGUUGCAGCCAAACCAACAGCGCGUGGUGAGGGCUGGCGCCAGAGACAAGCUGCAUACCCAGAUCCUACAGUCAAGUAUCUCAAAGCUACACGCCCUCCUAUAAUCCGCUGCCCUGGCAGCUAGCACCAGCCAGGCCAGUGGCUGGACACAGCUGUUUAUUACCUAGGGGUGACAAAUGUAGGCUUGUGACAGUUACCCCUGGAACAUAGGGAUGCGUGUUGAGGUUAUUUUGUGAAGGUAUGGCUCUUCUUGGUUGGUUUCUGCAGACCUAGAUUUUGGGGUCGCCUGGUAUAGAGAUCACCAAGCAUCAAAAGGGGCUCUGCAGCCUGUCCCUGGGGUGCUUUCCCAUGCCCGUGGAAGACUAAGACCACUGGUCCUACAGACAUGCUCUGCUUCACAACUGGAAGCAACACAGCUUCAGCCCAACAUGGCAGCUGGAGUUAGGUCCAAAAGAUGGUUGAGGUGAGGGCAAGGGGCCUUUUCACCCAGGAGACCAUCUGUGUUCCUAGGGCCCACAGCCAGUUUCUACUGCCUUCCCCAUGGGUAAGGCUCAAUGGUAGGCAUACAGUUACUAGGCCUUCCCAGAAUCCCUUACUGUUGACCAGGCAGGUAUAGCUCAGAGAUCAGUUGCACCCGGUGACCCCCCCAACAUGACCUGAGUAUGAACUCAACUCCAGUGGAUGACAACCCCCUUCGCCAGUGGGGCCUGAUUUCUUCAUCUCCACAGCCGGUCUGAAACUUGGCCUCAGGGUAUAGGACCCUGUAACUCUCUCCUACAGGGAACA
rnacentral:lncRNA from 1 species